rnacentral:rRNA from 1 species
UACGUAGGUGGCAAGCGUUGUCCGGAUUUAUUGGGCGUAAAGCGAGCGCAGGCGGAAAGAUAAGUCAGAUGUGAAAGCCCUCGGCUCAACCGGGGAACUGCAUCUGAAACUAUGUUUCUUGAGUGCAGAAGAGGAGAGUGGAACUCCAUGUGUAGCGGUGAGAUGCGUAGAUAUAUGGAAGAACACCAGUGGCGAAGGCGGCUCUCUGGUCUGCAACUGACGCUGAGGCUCGAAAGCAUGGGUAGCGAACAGG